rnacentral:rRNA from 1 species
AGCUCCAAUAGCGUAUAUUAAAGUUGUUGCGGUUAAAACGCUCGUAGUUGGAUCUGCGGCCUCGGAGAACGGUCCCCCGAAAGGGUGGUCACUGUCUCUCCUAGCCUAAAUUCGAGUCGUCUCUAGGUGCUCUUUACCGGGUGCUUAGAGUGACUAGAACGUUUACUUUGAAAAAAUUAGAGUGCUUAAAGCAGGCGAAAUAGCCUGAAUAAGGUGCAUGGAAUAAUGGAAUAGGACCUCGGUUCUAUUU